GAAUCUCAAAAUCAAGCAAAUUUGAUCCACCACCUGGCCACUGUUUGGAAGACAAUACUCUGGUUCCUGAGGCAAAAGGUGAAUCCUCUGAAUCAGAAUACUUCUCCUGCUAUUCCUCCUUCAGUCUUCUGUCUUCUGCAGGUAAGGGGCAAGGAAAGGCAUGCAAAGUCUGGGCAGAUUAGGGCAGUGGGAGCCUGAACAGACUGGUAGACACCCAGCUAAGCAUCUCUCAGCUAGUGGGAGAAAGGUACACAUCAGACCCAGUUAUAAUCUUAUCCUCAUCUGUUACUUGGGAAUCCGAGUGUCUUGUUCUUGUAUCCUCACUAGGAACUGAAUACAAACAGUUUUCAUGGGGCAUCCCCAAAGCGGCAGUGGUUUAGGGUGCCUGCAGCCCAGGGCGUAAUCCAGGAGACCCUGGAUCAAGUCCCAUAUCAGGCUCUCUGCAUGGAGCCUGCUUCUCCCUCUGCCUGUGUCUCUGCCUCUCUUUCUCAAUGCAUCUCUAGGAAUAAAUAAUGAAUAAAUCUUAAAAAAAAAAAAAGACCUUUCAGAACAAAGUAAGUAUUUCCAUAGAAGUCAAUGGGAAGAAUAGGUUAGGGAGAAGAGUAUAGGAGGGGAAACAGAAUGGAACCAGCUGUUUUUCUGACUUCUAUUGAAUUUUUAGGAAUCUCAAAAUCAAGCAAAUUUGAUCCACCAACUGGACCCUCUUUGGAAGACAAUACUCUGAUAUGUGAGGCUAAAGGUGAAUCCUUUGAAUCAAAAUACUUCGGCUAUUCCUUCUUGAGUCGUCUGUUUUCUGCAGGAAUCUCAAAAUCAAGCAAAUUUGAUCCACCACCUGGCCCCUCUUUGGAAGACAAUACUCUGGUCCCUGAGGCUAAAGGUGAAUCCUCUGAAUCAGAAUACUUCUCCUGCUAUUCCUCCUUGAGUCGUCUGUCUUCUGCAGGUAAGGGGCAAGGAAAGUCAUGCAAAGUCAAGAAGAUUAGGGCAGUGGGAGCCUGAACAGACUGGUAGACACCCAGCUAAGCAUCUCUCAGCUAGUGGGAGAAAGGUACACAUCAGACCCGGUUAUUAUCUUAUCCUCAUCUCUUAUUUGGGAAUCCGAGUGUCUUGUUCUUGUAUCCUCACUAGGAACUGAAUACAAACAGUUUUCAUGGGGCAGCCCCAGUGCCACAGUGGUUUAUGACCCUCUGCAGCCCAGGGCGUGAUCCUGGAGACCCUGUGUCGAGUCCCAUGUCAGGCUCUCUGCAUGGAACCUGCUUCUCCCUCUGCCUGUGUCUCUGCCUCUCUUUCUCUCUGCAUCUCUAGGAAUAAAUAAAUAAAUAAAUCUUUUUUAAAAAAAAGA
rnacentral:lncRNA from 12 species